rnacentral:rRNA from 1 species
ACGCUCGACACCUACGUGAGGCAGCAGUGGGGAAUAUUGCACAAUGGGGGAAACCCUGAUGCAGCGACGCCGCGUGAGCGAAGAAGUAUUUCGGUAUGUAAAGCUCUAUCAGCAGGGAAGAAACUGACGGUACCUGACUAAGAAGCACCGGCUAAAUACGUGCUAGCAGCCGCGGUAAUCUGAGCGGGCUGGCAAGGC